rnacentral:sRNA from 1 species
GCGGACGACACGCUUGUCACUGCCCGG